rnacentral:rRNA from 1 species
AACGAACGCUGGCGGCAUGCCUAACACAUGCAAGUCGAACGAGACCUUCGGGUCUAGUGGCGCACGGGUGCGUAACGCGUGGGAACCUGCCUUUAGGUUCGGAAUAACUCAGAGAAAUCUGAGCUAAUACCGGAUGAUGUCUUCGGACCAAAGAUUUAUCGCCUUUAGAUGGGCCCGCGUUGGAUUAGCUAGUUGGUGGGGUAAAGGCCUACCAAGGCGACGAUCCAUAGCUGGUCUGAGAGGAUGAUCAGCCACACUGGGACUGAGACACGGCCCAGACUCCUACGGGAGGCAGCAGUGGGGAAUAUUGGACAAUGGGCGAAAGCCUGAUCCAGCAAUGCCGCGUGAGUGAUGAAGGCCUUAGGGUUGUAAAGCUCUUUUACCCGAGAUGAUAAUGACAGUAUCGGGAGAAUAAGCUCCGGCUAACUCCGUG